rnacentral:rRNA from 1 species
GGUGAACGCUGGCGGCGUGCUUAAGACAUGCAAGUCGAACGGCAGUCUUCGGACUGUAGUGGCGCACGGGUGAGUAACGCGUAACUGACCUACCCCAAAGUCGCGGAUAACGAUUCGAAAGAAUCGCUAAUACGUGAUGUGCUGUCAGAUUGUGUUCUGCCAGUAAAGAUUGAUUGCUUUGGGAUGGGGUUGCGUUCCAUCAGCUAGUUGGUGGGGUAAAGGCCCACCAAGGCGACGACGGAUAGCCGGCCUGGGCGGGUGGCCGGCCACAGGGGCAAUGAGACACGGGUCCCACUCAUACGGGAGGCAGCAGUUAGGAAUCUUCCACAAUGGGCGAAAGCCUGAUGGAGCGACGCCGCGUGAGGGAUGAAGGUCUUCGGAUCGUAAACCUCUGAAUCAGGGACGAAAGACACUUCGGUGGGAUGACGGUACCUGAGUAAUAGCACCGGCUAACUCCGUGCCAGCCGCCGCCGUAAAAC